CAGUAGCCGCGGGAAUACGGAGGAUCCAAGCGUUAUCCGGAAUCAUUGGGUUUAAAGGGUCCGUAGGCGGUCUUGUAAGUCAGUGGUGAAAGCCCAUCGCUCAACGGUGGAACGGCCAUUGAUACUGCAGGACUUGAAUUAUUGGGAAGUAACUAGAAUAUGUAGUGUAGCGGUGAAAUGCUUAGAGAUUACAUGGAAUACCAAUUGCGAAGGCAGGUUACUACCAAUUGUUUGACGCUGAUGGACGAAAGCGUGGGUAGCGAACAGGAUUAGAUACCCGAGUAGUCCCUGUCUCUUAUAC
rnacentral:rRNA from 1 species